rnacentral:rRNA from 1 species
GACGAACGCUGGCGGCGUGCUUAACACAUGCAAGUCGAACGAAAAGAGGGAAAGAGCUUGCUCUUUCCGGAAUUGAGUGGCAAACGGGUGAGUAACACGUAAACAACCUGCCUUCAGGAUGGGGACAACAGACGGAAACGACUGCUAAUACCGAAUAAGUUCCAAGGGCCGCAUGGCCCAUGGAAGAAAAGGUGGCCUCUACCUGUAAGCUAUCGCCUGAAGAGGGGUUUGCGUCUGAUUAGCUGGUUGGAGGGGUAACGGCCCACCAAGGCGACGAUCAGUAGCCGGUCUGAGAGGAUGAACGGCCACACUGAAACUGAGACACGGUCCAGACUCCUACGGGAGGCAGCAGUGGGGAAUCUUCCGCAAUGGGCGAAAGCCUGACGGAGCAACGCCGCGUGAGUGAUGACGGCCUUCGGGUUGUAAAACUCUGUGAUCCGGGACGAAAAGGCAGAGUGCGAAGAACAAACUGCAUUGACGGUACCGGAAAAGCAAGCCACGGCUAACUACGUG